UACGGAGGAUGCGAGCGUUGUCCGGAUUUACUGGGUUUAAAGGGAGCGUAGGCGGGUUAGUAAGUGAGAGUUGAAAGGCAGUUGCUCAACAAUUGUAAGGCUCUCAUACUGCUAAUCUUGAGUGUACUGGAGGCAGAUAGAAUGGGUGGAGUAGCGGUGAAAUGCAUAGAUACCAUCCAGAAUACCGAUUGCGAAGGCAUUCUGCUACAUUACAACUGACGCUGAGGCUCGAAAGUGUGGGGAUCAAACAGGAUUAGAUACCCCCGUAGUCC
rnacentral:rRNA from 1 species